CAGCUGACCAGACAAGGGGGAGCUCUUGAACCCCAGACUGAUGGCUGAGAGGAGAGUAGAAGGCGAUGACCGGUGUCCAUUUCCUUGAGUCCAGCAACAGGAUGGGAUGAUGAAAGGCACAGGUUCUGCCUGCCACCAUAGCUAGGAGAACAGAACGCAGUCCAGGAAGGACCCAAGUUGAGAAACACGCAAGGGAGAGGUGCUCUUUUGCUUCCCAUCGAAAACUCCAACUAUGGGACAGAGAGAUGGUUGAGCAUGGGAGGCACUGCAAUCAAGCCUGACCAGCAUCCCCUGGAGCCCACAUGGUGGAAGGAAAGACCUGACUCCUGAAAGCCAUCGUCUGAGCUCUGUGUGUGUGUGAACACACACAUAUACACGCUUAUCCAAUCAGUGAAACUUGAAGAAGCCCCAGAUAUGGGCCUGGGAGUGGUUGCUAAGCCAAAAGGGUAAACCAAUUGGAACUGGGAUGAGGCAAGAGGCUCCAAAUGCAAGUGGGCUAAUGAAUACUAUUAACUUUUGUCAUGCGCCACUGCAGCAUGGGGAAGUGGGAAGGAGCUCCAGCUGCAGCCUGGAAGAGAUCAAGAAACAGCAUCCUCAGGAGAGGCGUCAUGUCUACAUACAUCACCACAGGCCCUAUAGAUGGCAGAGUUCCAGGGCUACAGGGGGUAUGCCACAAUUCUAGCUCCAUGUUCCAGAGUCUUGAGCAUAUAUAUUUCUGUUAUGUAUACCCCUGGGCCUGUGAUAUUUUCUUAUCAAAAACCAUAACUAGCA